rnacentral:rRNA from 1 species
CUACGGGCCGCAGCAGUCGCGAAUCUUUUACAAUGCACGAAAGUGUGAUAAAGCGAACCAAAGUGCUUCACAUUCGUGAAGCUUUUGUUCAUUUUAAAACGAUGGACGAAUAAGGACCGGGCAAGACUGGUGCCAGCCGCCGCGGUAAUACCAGCGGUCCAAGUUGCAGCCAACUUUAUUGGGUCUAAAACAUCCGUAGCUUGCCUAUUAAGUUCCUUGUGAAAUCCUACAUCUCAAGUGUGGGGCUUGCAAGGAAUACUGGUAGGCUAGAGAUCGGUAGACGUAAGGAGUACAGUUGAGGUAGUGGUAAAAUACGUUAAUCUCAAUUGGACUAACAAUCAGCGAAGGCACCUUACGAGGACGAAUCUGACAGUGAGGGAUGAAGGCCAGGGGCGCAAAACGGAUUAGAUACCCGAGUAGUC